GUCUGACCAGCCAUGCCGCGUGCAGGAUGACGGUCCUAUGGAUUGUAAACUGCUUUUGCACAGGAAGAAACACUCCGACGUGUCGGAGCUUGACGGUACUGUGAGAAUAAGGAUCGGCUAACUCCGUGCCAGCAGCCGCGGUAAUACGGAGGAUCCAAGCGUUAUCCGGAAUCAUUGGGUUUAAAGGGUCCGUAGGCGGUCUUGUAAGUCAGUGGUGAAAGCCCAUCGCUCAACGGUGGAACGGCCAUUGAUACUGCAGGACUUGAAUUAUUGGGAAGUAACUAGAAUAUGUAGUGUAGCGGUGAAAUGCUUAGAGAUUACAUGGAAUACCAAUUGCGAAGGCAGGUUACUACCAAUUUAUUGACGCUGAUGGACGAAAGCGUGGGUAGCGAACAGGAUUAGAUACCCUGGUAGUCCACGCCGUAAACGAUGGAUACUAGCUGUUGGGAGCAAUCUCAGUGGCUAAGCGAAAGUGAUAAGUAUCCCACCUGGGGAGUACGAACGCAAGUUUGAAACUCAAAGGAAUUGACGGGGGCCCGCACAAGCGGUGGAGCAUGUGGUUUAAUUCGAUGAUACGCGAGGAACCUUACCAAGGCUUAAAUGCAGACUGACCGAUUUGGAAACAGAUCUUUC
rnacentral:rRNA from 1 species